UGGGGAAUAUUGCACAAUGGGCGCAAGCCUGAUGCAGCCAUGCCGCGUGUAUGAAGAAGGCCUUCGGGUUGUAAAGUACUUUCAGCGGGGAGGAAGGGAGUAAAGUUAAUACCUUUGCUCAUUGACGUUACCCGCAGAAGAAGCACCGGCUAACUCCGUGCCAGCAGCCGCGGUAAUACGGAGGGUGCAAGCGUUAAUCGGAAUUACUGGGCGUAAAGCGCACGCAGGCGGUUUGUUAAGUCAGAUGUGAAAUCCCCGGGCUCAACCUGGGAACUGCAUCUGAUACGGGCAAGCUUGAGUCUCGUAGAGGGGGGUAGAAUUCCAGGUGUAGCGGUGAAAUGCGUAGAGAUCUGGAGGAAUACCGGUGGCGAAGGCGGCCCCCUGGGCGAAGACUGACGCUCAGGUGCGAAAGCGUGGGGAGCAAACAGG
rnacentral:rRNA from 1 species